rnacentral:lncRNA from 1 species
GAGGUUAAGUGAGUAGAGAAGCAGAUUCCUCCUCUAUGGCCAGUGCUAAAAGAAGUGAUGUUAGCAAAAAGUCCUAACGAAUACCAUGAUGAAAGAGGGUGAAGCAAGGGAGACCAUAUAAGAGUGUACUGGAAUAACCCAGGAGUGAGAUGGAUGUGGAAGGGAUUCAGCUCAGACGGUCUCACCUUCAGACCUGCCUCCAGUGUCACCAGUACUCAGUGAAAGAACUUUGCCAUGAACACUCUGCAAUGUAUGAAGAGGGCUCUUUAUAUUUGUCCUGCAGCAUGUAUCACACUAUAUUCUAAUAGUCUGCUAAUUUGCUUGAGAAUUCGACAGUCUUUUGUUCUUCUCUCAGGCCAAAUGAAAUAUGUCUUUCUUAUUUUGUACCAAUAAAAAGCCUC